UACGUAGGGUGCAAGCGUUGUCCGGAAUUAUUGGGCGUAAAGGAGCUCGUAGGCGGUUUGUCGCGUCUGCUGUGAAAACUCGGGGCUUAACUCCGGGCCUGCAGUGGGUACGGGCAGACUAGAGUGCGGUAGGGGAGACUGGAAUUCCUGGUGUAGCGGUGAAAUGCGCAGAUAUCAGGAGGAACACCGGUGGCGAAGGCGGGUCUCUGGGCCGUAACUGACGCUGAGGAGCGAAAGCGUGGGGAGCGAACAGG
rnacentral:rRNA from 1 species